rnacentral:rRNA from 1 species
UUGGGAGCUCACUGGUUUCGGAUUCCAUGGGAACUCCGAAGUUAAGCGAGUUUGGGCUAGAGCAAUCCCAAGAUGGGUGAUCCACUGGGAAGUUGCUCGUGAGUUCCCAAA